GACGUAGGGCGCGAGCGUUGUCCGGAUUUAUUGGGCGUAAAGAGCUCGUAGGCGGUUUGUCGCGUCGUCCGUGAAAACUCACAGCUUAACCGUGAGCUUGCGGUCGAUACGGGCAGGCUAGAGUUCGGUAGGGGAGACUGGAAUUCCUGGUGUAGCGGUGAAAUGCGCAGAUAUCAGGAGGAACACCGGUGGCGAAGGCGGGUCUCUGGGCCGAUACUGACGCUGAGGAGCGAAAGCGUGGGGAGCGAACAGG
rnacentral:rRNA from 1 species